rnacentral:rRNA from 1 species
GGCGCACGGGUGAGUAACACGUAUGCAACCUGCCCUCCACAGGGGGACAACCUUCCGAAAGGGAGGCUAAUCCCGCGUAUAUCCCCCGGGGGCAUCCCCGGGGGAGGAAGGGAAUACCGGUGGAGGAUGGGCAUGCGGCGCAUUAGGCAGUAGGCGGGGUAACGGCCCACCUAGCCGACGAUGCGUAGGGGUUCUGAGAGGAAGGUCCCCCACACUGAUACUGAGACACGGACCAGACUCCUACGGGAGGCAGCAGUGAGGAAUAUUGGUCAAUGGCCGUAAGGCUGAACCAGCCAAGUAGCGUGAGGGAAGACUGCCCUAUGGGUUGUAAACCUCUUUUAUGCGGGGAUAAAGGUGUCCACGUGUGGAUGUUUGCAGGUACCGCAUGAAUAAGGACCGGCUAAUUCCGUGCCAGCAGCCGCGGUAAUACGGAAGGUCCGGGCGUUAUCCGGAUUUAUUGGGUUUAAAGGGAGCGUAGGCCGGUCUUUAAGCGUGCCGUGAAAUUUUGUGGCUCAACCAUGAGAGUGCGGCGCGAACUGGAGACCUUGAGUGCGCGGAAGGCAGGCGGAAUUCGUGGUGUAGCGGUGAAAUGCUUAGAUAUCACGAAGAACCCCGAUUGCGAAGGCAGCCUGCCGCAGCGUUACUGACGCUGAAGCUCGAAAGCGCGGGUAUCGAACAGGAUUAGAUACCCUGGUAGUCCGCGCGGUAAACGAUGGAUGCCCGCUGUCGGCGAUAUACAGUCGGCGGCCAAGCGAAAGCGUUAAGCAU